UGAUUUGACAAUUGUCUUAAUUUUUUCCUCAUGGUUUUACAGCCUAAAUCAAACCAUUUCUCAUUUUCUUGUGUUGUUUUAUGGAUUUUCUUAGAGAAUGUGAGGUUAGAUAAAUUGGCCAAAUAUUUAAAUAUAUAAUUUAUGUUCUCCACAGCCAGAUGGACACCAUCUCGAUUGUGAGGAUAAAUUCUGCCUUAAAAAAUUGUCUAUAAGUGGACACACUUUUGGAUGGCCAAUUGCUGUCACAUAUUUUUCUGUGCUGUUUUGUGCCCAUCUGUAAUUCUCUCUAAUGUUGUACAGCUUACUGGGCUGUUAAUGUAUGUCCGUAUUUGUUGUCCUCUUUUGGUAAACAGUAACUUGACUGUGGUCUGAUAGGGGUGUUAGUGGUUUGACUGUGAAUGCUCUGAAAGAGAAUGGAUCUAAAUCUAUGUGUAUACCUGCUCACUCACUCACUCUCUCUCUCUCUCUCUCUCUCUCUCACACACACACACACACACACACACACACACACACACACACACACGUUCACCUGCUGUCUCUCAGGCUGUGGCACAUCCACACGUAUCUCGCAGCCAGUGCUGCUGUGUGUCCCUCUCCUAAUAGUAUCUUUAUUUGUUCUGUUUCACUAAUGGCUGUAAAGUUCUUUAUUAAGUUGGUGCAUUUGUUGAAGUAGAGGUUUCUUAUGGAUAUGUAUUUCUGACAGUGAAGGAGGAAGUGCGUCUCUGUCUUGAUCUCUCCUGUCUGACAGUGAGCACACACUCUCUGCUCUCUGGGUAACCAGCUCUUUCUGUGUCUGCCCGUCUCGAUGGCUAGACUGUGCUCACCGAGCCUGUACUUGCUCAGGAUCCGUCUCUGCUUUGUGUCUCUGACACUAUGGAGAUAAUCUUCCAAUUUAUAAUUUUUUUAUUUUAGAGUUCGAUAGAAUUGUUUUAGUUUCCUGGUCCCAGUGUUCCAGAUAUGUAUUUUUAGACUGUUUGAUAAUUAGAUUUAUUUUGAUGUUUGGGUGAGAAGCAGUGCUAUAGCCUUUGAUUAUUUAAUAUUAUUAUUUCUUCACACAUAUCUUGUUAUUAAAGGCAACACACUCAUGCUAUUCUAUUUACAUUUUAAAUUAUCUAAAUAUAGUGUGGACAAAUAAUGAAUUUGUUUUCCCUUUAGAAAAGUCAUGUUGACUUUCCACAAAUACUCAUUCUACAAUUGAGCCCCUUCCGACAUGACCACCGUCGAGUAAGAAUUCCUGCAAAAACUGAGGUUUACUUCCAACAAUAUGAGCUUUAUGCCAUAAUAAACCUUUAUGGAUCACUGAAAGAUGGACACUAUAAUACUAACAUCAAAUCUGACAAUCAGAACUGGUAUCGAUGUAAUGACAGCCAUGUAUUUCAGGGAUUCUCCACCCCAAAAUGAAAAUUUAAUCAUUAAUCACUUACCCCCAUGUCGUUCCAAAGAUUUGUUCGUCUUCGGAACACAAUUUAAGGUAUUUUGGAUGAAAACCGGGAGGCCUGUGACUGUCCCAUAGACUGCCAAAUAAAUAACAGUGUCAAGGUCCAUAAAAGGUAUGAAAAGCAUCGUCAGAAUACUCCAUCUGCCAUCAGUGGUUCAAACGUAACAUUAUGAAGCGACGGGAACACUUUUUAUUCCUGACCUGAUGUUUUCAGAACGUAAGGAUAUAUUGUGGAAGAUUCAAGAGUUUUUUUGGUCUUCAUCUUCAGAUUCAUGCCAUUCACACUCACACAGCUCUGCCUAUCUACUCUUUUACAAAAAGUGUGAAAAAGUGUAAAAGUGGAUUGACUGAAUCAGUAAAAAGACACAGAGCAGAAUAUCAUCAUUUAGGGUGAAAAAUGCUAUAUAAGCAGAAUUUAACCAGGCUCAAAGGCUUCCAGUAAAUGACUGUGAAUGUAUUUAUAAAUCUCUCUGCUCAACAGCUGAUGAAUUGAAACAGGUGCGUCACAAACAUAUAUAAGUGUCGUGCUGUUGUCAGGAUUAAGAAGGACUGGUCUGCUUAAUGUAUAUGCUUCGAAGACAAUUUUCAGUUUGAAUAUUGAUGUCAUUUAUUUUCGUGCAUGUAGUAAGACAUAUUUUAUAGGCAUCGUAUUAAUCAAACUAUAUAAUGAUUAAGUGUUAAUAAGAGAAGUCCCAUUAUCUGCUACUAAGUAUGUAGAAUUAUUAUCAAUUACACUGCUGUAAAAGGAUGUAGUUUGGAAUAAUAUGUAUUCAUGUAAAGGAGUAUUCAUUUUUAUUAUAUCAAAAGUUGGUAUUGUGAACGCAUAAGAUGAAAUAUGUCACAUAAAUAUAUUUGUGUUACAUAAAAUAACCGGACACCUACAUUAACUGUCAUCUGUUUAAGGAAAUAUAAGUCCGUAUUAUACCAAUAUACUAAUACUGAUACUGAUAAUGAGUCAUUGUUUUUCUUAAAGUUUAGGAUUAGAUCAAAUACAAGUUGUGGUGGAUGAAUAACAGGAACUUGUUCUUCUGAGCGAUGUUUUGUGAUUCUGUCCAUGAAAUGUCCUAAAGGCAUUUUCUAUUAUCUGUAACUGUCAUUUGAGACACAAGGUGGUGCCAUAUACCUGUUCUUACCUUUGUUAGUAUGAAGCGAAAGAAUGAUAUAAUAAUUAGUAACAGCAGUAUGUCAGUUAUUCAGUCAUUAUUCAGAAGUAUUUGAUCUCUGAAUGCUGAAAUAAUAAAAACUAAUCAGAAUAAAGUAUUGAUAAA
ensembl:lncRNA